ACAGCAGCAGCCGCGGUAAUACGUAGGGUGCAAGCGUUAAUCGGAAUUACUGGGCGUAAAGCGUGCGCAGGCGGUCCGCUAAGACAGAUGUGAAAUCCCCGGGCUUAACCUGGGAACUGCAUUUGUGACUGGCGGGCUAGAGUAUGGCAGAGGGGGGUAGAAUUCCACGUGUAGCAGUGAAAUGCGUAGAGAUGUGGAGGAAUACCGAUGGCGAAGGCAGCCCCCUGGGCCAAUACUGACGCUCAUGCACGAAAGCGUGGGGAGCAAACAGGAUUAGAUACCCCUGUAGUCCCUGUCUCUUAUAA
rnacentral:rRNA from 1 species